GCUGGGUGUGGUGGUGCACACCUGUAAUCCCAGCAGCUCAGGAGACUGAGGCAGGAGGAUUGUGAGUUCAAAGCCAGUCUCAA
rnacentral:sRNA from 1 species